rnacentral:rRNA from 1 species
AUUAAUUUAAUGGCUGCAGUAUUUUAACUGUACAAAGGUAGCAUAAUAAUUAGUUCCUUAAUUAGGGACUGGAAUGAAGGAUUGAACGAGAUAAAAAUUGUCUCUUUUUAAAUUUUAUAAUUUUAUUUUUAAGUUAAAAAGCUUAAAUAUUAUUAAAAGACGAGAAGACCCUAUAGAGUUUUAUAGUUAUAAUAUAAAUAAGUUUUAGUAAUAAAAUUUUAUUUAUACAAUGAUUAUUUGAUUGGGGUGAUUUUAAAAUUUAAAAAACUUUAAUAUAAUUUACAUUAAUAUAUGAAUAAUUGAUCCAUAUUUUAUGAUUAAAAGAUUAAAUUACCUUAGGGAUAACAGCGUAAUUUUUUUUAAGAGUUCUAAUCGAAAAAAAAGAUUGCGACCUCGAUGUUGGAUUAAAAUUAAUUUUUGGUGUAGAAGCUAAAAUAUUAGGUCUGUUCGACCUUUAAAAUUUUACAUGAUCUGAGUUUAAAUCGGCGUGAGCCAGGUUGGUUUCUAUCUUUAAUAAAAUAGAAUAUUUUAGUACGAAAGGACCAUAUAUUUAUAAAGUUUAUUUAUUUAUGAUUAAUAUUA